UGUACCAAAUUGAUCCAUACGCAAAAACCCGGACCCCUGAAACCCCAAUCCAUAUCAAAAAUCAAGAAAACAAGAUUUGUGGUCUUCAGGCAGGCCGCGUAAAGAUAAGCCAAGGAUAACACGGGCCGCGACAGAAAGGCAAAUCUCCGGAUAAGCUUAAGGGACACGCGGCUUCCACUUGGUAAACCUACUGGUGACUCAGCAACCCUACGCGUAAGAGUCGAGCCAAGGCUCACGCGGGCCGCGUGAAACCCAAAUUCCAGCUAUAAAUAGAGCAGGCUACGAGCAGUCCUCUGGUGUCGAAAGUUUCUUUCAGAAAGGAAGUUAUACUGCCCAAAUUCGAAUAUUACUCUCAAAUUAGCGAGGCACUGCUACGAUAUAGGGUAUUAACUCGAUCGCUGCUACGAUUCGAUGUCCGAUCGAUUGAAACUAUCCAACAGAUGUUUAAGUAAUUACAGUAGAUUGGAGUAAGGAUUGGAUCCGGCGCUGAAAGGACUUCAAGAAGUGGCUUAUUUUAUUAAUUAAAUCAAAUUA
rnacentral:lncRNA from 1 species